rnacentral:rRNA from 1 species
UACGGAAGGCAGCAGUGGGGAAUAUUGCACAAUGGGCGCAAGCCUGAUGCAGCCAUGCCGCGUGUAUGAAGAAGGCCUUAGGGUUGUAAAGUACUUUCAUCGGGGAGGAAAAAACAAAACUAAUAAUUUUAUUUUCUUGACGUUACCCGAAAAAGAAGCACCGGCUAACUCCGUGCCAGCAGCCGCGGUAAUACGGAGGGUGCUAGCGUUAAUCAGAAUUACUGGGCGUAAAGAGCACGUAGGUGGUUUUUUUUAAGUCAGAUGUGAAAUCCCUGGGCUUAACCUAGGAACUGCAUUUUGAAACUGAAAUACUAGAGUAUCGUAGAGGGAGGUAGAAUUCUAGGUGUAGCGGUGAAAUGCGUAGAUAUCUGGAGGAAUACCUGUGGCGAAAGCGGCCUCCUAAACGAAUACUGACACUGAGGUGCGAAAGCGUGGGGAGCAAACAGGGAUUAGAUACC